CACAUUGGAACUGAGACACGGUCCAGACUCCUACGGGAGGCAGCAGUGAGGAAUAUUGGUCAAUGGGCGGAAGCCUGAACCAGCCAUGCCGCGUGCAGGAAUAAGGUCCUAUGGAUUGUAAACUUCUUUUGAGCGGGAGCAAUAAGGUGCACGUGUGGUCCGAUGAGAGUACCGUUCGAAUAAGCAUCGGCUAACUCCGUGCCAGCAGCCGCGGUAAUACGGAGGAUGCGAGCGUUAUCCGGAUUUAUUGGGUUUAAAGGGUGCGUAGGCUGUGCGUCAAGUCAGGGGUGAAAGCCCGGGGCUCAACUCCGGAGCUGCCUUUGAUACUGGAGGGCUUGAAUUCGGAUGCCGUGGGAGGAAUGAGUAGUGUAGCGGUGAAAUGCAUAGAUAUUACUCAGAACACCGAUUGCGAAGGCAUCUCACGAAUCAGACAUUGACGCUGAGGCACGAAAGCGUGGGGAUCAAACAGGAUUAGAUACCCUGGUAGUCCACGCAGUAAACGAUGAUAAUAACCGUCGGGCGAUACACAGUCGGGGGGCCAAGCGAAACGAAAAAUCAAUCCCACUGGGGGGGUAGUCUGGCAAGAAUGAACUUCCAAAGAAAUGGACGGGGGGCCGCCCCAAGGGGAGGACCAUGGGGUUUAUUUGGAGAAUACGGGGGGACCUUUCCCGGGGUUGGACCGGUGCAGGAGAGAGCCAGAGAUGGGAACGUCCUUCGGGACACCCGUCGAGGUGCUGCAUGGUUGUCGUCAGCUCGUGUCGUGAGAUGUUGGCUCAAGUGCCAUAACGAGCGCAACCCUUGCUGCCAGUUACCAGCACGUAAAGAUGGGGACUCUGGCAGGACUGCCACCGCAAGGUGAGAGGAAGGAGGGGAUGACGUCAAAUCAGCACGGCCCUUACGUCCGGGGCGACACACGUGUUACAAUGGCAGCUACAGAGGGAAGCCACCCGGCGACGGGGAGCGGAUCUCGAAAAGCCGCCUCAGUUCGGAUCGGAGUCUGCAACCCGACUCCGUGAAGCUGGAUUCGCUAGUAAUCGCGCAUCAGCCAUGGCGCGGUGAAUACGUUCCCGGGCCUUGCACUCACCGCCCGUCAAG
rnacentral:rRNA from 1 species